UUUUAGUCAAGAGGGGGGGAAACCCUAUUUUCUAAGAAUCAGAAAACAGAAGUUGCACGCACACUCUUUCACGUUAGAAACCAGAGGAAAAGAGAGAAGAGAGAGCUUGAGAGAGAAGAGGAGCGCCGCCGCCCAAGCCGCCACCACCACUCACGAAGCGCGCGCGAGAGAGAGCUUGCGAGAAGGAGAGAGAUCGCGAGUGGAAGAGGGAGAGACCGAGAGCAAGGCAAGGAGGUUUGGACAGCAGGAGAACCAUCUUCUUUCUUUCUAUUUUCAAGUUCUAAAACAAGAUGGUCGUGAAGAUAACGGCGACGACCCAUUCUUGGGAGCUGAUACUCCGUGACGAGCCACUACCGGAUGACGACUACACUCCUGAUGAAGAGGAAGAAGAUAAAGAGGAAGAGGCCAAGGAAUAGGUUUGGGUUGAGAGACAUCCAUUUUCUCUUUGGGUUGAGAGUACCGAGUUCGGGAAGCAUUGAACAAUUCUUUUGUUUUCAUUUGGAUAAAUAAAGUUGAUGUAAUUUACUUUGGUUUUAGACGUAUGUUUCAUGCCUAUUUUAUUUAAUUCAAAAGUUUUGAGAUGAUGUUUA